ensembl:miRNA MIR7139 microRNA mir-7139
CCAUUCCUUCGUCUGUGCACUAGAAAAAUAACAGUACCUAGGGCACAGGAUGGGAUGAGG